AUUCAACAUGUUAAAAUAGUCUAGGAAUCGAACUAGUCGUGUACUUAUCUUUUGAAGUGUACGUUUCGUAGUAGAUAACGAUACAGUAAAUUCUCGGCAAUUGUCUCUGAGCUUGUAAACAAAAAUGGACAAUUUGUGAAGAGAAGAUACGUUCGUUCGACGCUCGUUUUUAUAGUUGCCGAUUGUUGAGGUUAUGUCAGGUUAUUUGAUUAUAAUUUAAUAUAAUUAUAUGUAAUCGUAUGUCCUUUUCACAAAUUGUUCAUUUUUGUUUACAAGCUGAGAGACGAUUCGAGAGAAUUUACUGUACCACAAGUUGAUUGUUAUCUUAUAAAACAUACCUGUACGCUAUAUUAUUUAUCUUAACACUUUCUAAUCUAUCGGGAGAUAUGUGUCCCACCUAUGUAUUUCGCACGCUUAUUGAGAGAAAUGAAUACCGUUUUUCCACAAUACACGAAUAAACCAGGCUUAGAAUGCAUACCGCGCACAUGUUUCUUUCCAUGUGACCACAUAACCUCUCAGUUUGGUCGUGAAGUCGGGCCGACGCUAAUAAAAUCAACAUUUCUUGUUAGUAGCAUCUAGAUGUACGUAAAACUUACCACUUCAGAUGUAACAGAAAUUAACGAAAAUCUAAGUUCGAAUCUUUUGUCGCGUUGGAUAUCGAUAAUAUCACCUUGCGAAAUUAAGAAAAGGUUAUUAUAACUGAUCGAUAUCAACGCGUGAAAUUAGAAGCGACAUCGGAAGGAAGAUCUCGUCAAAUUUUAAUAUCGUAUGGUCAAUGCACGCUGUUACAACACCUCGAAAACCAUCACUGCGUCGAAACCGUUAUUUAAAACGAAUUUAUCCAUAAGAUGGAGCAAGCGUGCAGAAAACGACCAGGACCUGUUCUCAAACAUAGCAAACGUCAUGACGCUUAAUUUAUGUAAUAGGAUGAACGAUCGACGAAACGUUUAACCCUUGCAGGACCAUAAGAUUGCUAAGAGUAAAUAUGUAGUGGACACAUAUGUCCCGAUAGACUACAAAGGGUUAACAAUUAUCGAGCGGUAAGAGUGACUAGUGUUUGUCGCCCUUUAAAACUAACGAGAGGUUAUGUAUCGAAUAAUUAGAAAAGACAUCGUUGCUUCAAAUGUGAAAUCGUGGAAUCUGUUUAACGACUCUUCUAUAAUCGCAAGGGACCAGAUUGUCACCUGUUGCCCUACGUUUGUUGAUUAAAUCCACCGUAAUUUUGUGCAA